GGGGACCUUUAAACACUCAGAUUAUGAUGGAUCUGGAGAGCCUCACAAAUCCCUUCUGGCCCAUUAGACCUGUCUGCUGUGUGAGUAAAGGAAGUGUUUGGACGAAGUGGAGUAUGCACGCAGUGGCCUGGGAUGAUUUGGGUCUGUCCUACAGCCCUGAAGAUUGGCGGAGGAGCGCAGAUGCUGGAGGAGUGAGCUCCUGAGAUGCAGCAGUGACAGCAGUCCCUCAUCCCUGUGGAGGCCCGUGGACCCAGAGGCAGUGAUGGAGUGAGCCUGGCUGGCCCAGAAUUGCCAUCUGAGGAUCAGCUCCAGGAGGUGGAGGAGAAUUUUUCUUUACACAUCAGACAAGUUUCUGCUCAGUUGGAAUAAACGUGUAUUGUCAUCAAUGAGAUAAUAGUUUGAGUAUGUGAGAAAUCAAGACCCUGUCCCUUCCUAGCUGUUUUCUUCAGCUUCUAUUUGAGGGAGCCUCAAGGUAGUGUGUUAUAAAGAGACCACUUCCUAACUGGGUGACUCUGAGCAUGUCAUUUUUUAAUUCUCUGAGCUUCGGUUUCCCCAUCACAAAUGGGGUUCAUCUUUCACAGGGUUGUUUUUGAGUAAGAGGAGAAAAUACAUGUAUGGUCUUUAACACUUAGCAUGUGCCCAAUAAAUGUUACUUCUUUUUCCUAU